UGUUUCUUGGAACAGAACGUCACAGAGUGGUGAGAAUCCCGUGCGAUGAGAUGAUCCAGGCCUAUGUAAAGUUCCUUCGAAGAGUCGAGUUGUUCGGGAAUGCAGCUCUAAGUGGGUGGUAAAUUCCAUCUAAAGAUAAAUAUUGGAGAGAGACCGAUAGCGAACAAGUACAGUGAUGGAAAGAUGAAAAGAAAUUUGAAAAGAGAGUGAAAAAGUAACGUGAAAUUGUUGAAAGGGAAGGGCUUGAGAUCAGACUCUGGUAUUUCUGUAUAGUUACUUCUUCCGGGGGUGGCACUCUACAGU
rnacentral:rRNA from 1 species